AGGAGGAGGAGGAGAAGGAAAGGAACAAGGCAGAGAGAGUGAAGGAGAAAAGAAAGAGCAAGAAGUGGUGGCGGAGGCUGCACUCUUUCUUCAGAGCUGCCAAAAAACACCCAGAGAGCAGCUCAGGUCAGAGAGAGCAGGAGCAGCAGCAGGAUGAGGGACAGAAGAGGAAGGUGGCAUGGGCAGGAAGAACUAGUGAUGACUACAUCUUCAGUCGCUACACCGUUGGUGAUCAGCUGGGGAAAGGUGGUUUUGGUGUGGUGUACGAAGGCAGGCGUUUGAAUGAUGGUCUUAAAGUGGCUUUGAAGUAUGUAAUGAAGACCCAGCACACGGAAUGUA